AACUCAUGGUGAAGGCAUCUUCUAAGCAAAUCCUUGUAUCUCUCCCAAGCUUCAUAAAGUGACUCUAAAUCAAAUUUUACAAAAGAUGUGAUGUCAUUUCACAUUUU
rnacentral:snoRNA from 1 species